rnacentral:rRNA from 1 species
AGAGCGAACGCUGGCGGCAGGCUUAACACAUGCAAGUCGAGCGGGCGUAGCAAUACGUCAGCGGCAGACGGGUGAGUAACGCGUGGGAACGUACCUUUUGGUUCGGAACAACACAGGGAAACUUGUGCUAAUACCGGAUAAGCCCUUACGGGGAAAGAUUUAUCGCCAAAAGAUCGGCCCGCGUCUGAUUAGCUAGUUGGUGAGGUAACGGCUCACCAAGGCGACGAUCAGUAGCUGGUCUGAGAGGAUGAUCAGCCACAUUGGGACUGAGACACGGCCCAAACUCCUACGGGAGGCAGCAGUGGGAAUAUUGGACAAUGGGCGCAAGCCUGAUCCAGCCAUGCCGCGUGAGCGAUGAAGGCCCUAGGGUUGUAAAGCUCUUUUGUGCGGGAAGAUAAUGACGGUACCGCAAGAAUAAGCCCGGCUAACUUCGCGCCAGCAGCCGC